AUAAGCCUUAGGGAGGAACCAGCCAAAGCCGGAGACUAAUGGGCUUAGUCGGAGUGUUGAAGGUGUCACUGAGCUGGUCUUGCUUCACCACUGCUAUGAGAUAAUAGAAACCCACCCAAAUCCUUGUCAGAGGAACAAGAAACCUUGAACCACGUCCAGACCACAAGCCCAAUUAAGAACCAGCUUCCCUGCACACCUGCUCCCAGUUGCGGCUGCUCACUGAGGCGAGGCCUACAUGGCGCUCUGCCUGCUGACGGGGGAGGCGGGGGACAUGAGGGAUGUGCUUCCUCUCGGGGACCACAGGAAGGGGACAUCAGUGCUCAGAGGGGCACGAGAAUUCAUCGAAAAGCUGAGGGAGCUGAGACUGGCUUUAGGAAUCAAGGAUGCGGUCAGCAAAGGCACAGAUGACGAGAACCUAAUGCACAAGAGUUGGUUCCUGGAACCUGCUCGGUUCCUCAGCACACUGGUAAGCUCCCCAACUGAACCAAAAGAGGAGUAGAAGUGGGACGAGCCUCAAAUAGCCUUGACUAUGAUCAUGCCACCUUACAGUGUUUCCUAAGCAGCAGCAAACACCAGACCUAACUGGGGAGCACCCUCAAAAUACCCAUGCCCAGCUUCCUGGGAGCCUAUGAUGUGCUAGGUCAAGGCUGGGGGCAGGCUUGUACACUUGGGAAAAGUUCCCCUGGUGGUUCUGAUGUGAAACCCUGGCUAAGAACCGCCCACCUAGGACAUUUCGACUCAAAAGUCUUCAAGGCUUACCCUCAUGGGAUGUCCGCAUAGGAACGUGGUAUUACAGAGAAUUUCAAACCACACCGAGCUCAGUGAUUUCCCUCUUGCGUAGAGGGGUCAGCGGGCAAAUCGUGUUUUUUGUUACCCAGGAGACUCUUUUUGAGUCAGAAACAAGCACAGCACCUGAUGGUGUGCUUUCAUUUAAAGCUACGAGAGGCAGGUUCUUAGGGCUGGAGGGAAGGCUGCUCAAACCUGAGGUCAGUCAGAUGGAUAAUACGUUGAGCAGGGAGCUCUCUCGGCUGCUUUCCGGCAGCGGCUGCACCUGCGCCGUGUGUAGCUUUGCCCAGGGAAAUGGGAACGCACCACGCAUGUGCAGAGUUUGGGCUGCUGGGGUAGGGCUCCUUUGCGGUCCGGAACGGAGGAAAGCCAGCGUCCCCGCACAUGGCCUGCUGGCCAGGACUCCUCUCCAGGACACUUUACAACUCAUGACUCAGCUCUGAAGAGGAUGUGGUUGGUGAAGUUUCCUGCCUCUAGUGGUCACAAGUUCACAUGGUGUCUCCUUUUGAGGGCCUGCUGACUGCAGAACAGGGACAGCUGACUCCAGGGACUGCUAUUAGACCAGCAGCCACAGUCACCUGCAUGAGGUAACAACAGUAGCACCAGUCUCAGCCAGUGCAAAUGAGGACACGAAAUGUUUUGGCCUUAGACAUUCCAGGAUUUUUGGAUUACCUAAAACCACGACUCAGGUCAUCAGAGAACCACUCUAGGAUGUUUAAACAUUUUGUAUAUUAAAAAACACUUAUGCUCUUCUUUCCCCUUUAAUGUUAUGGUGUUAUCUCUACUACAGACCAAUUCCUUUAUUUAAAAAAAUUUUUUAUUGAAAUGUAGUUGAUUUACGAUGUUAAGUUUCAGAUAUAUAGCAGUGAUUCGGUUGUAUUGUUUUAUAUAUAUUACACACACAGCAGUUCCCUGUGCUAUAUAAUAGGUCCUUGUUGGUUAUCUAUUUUAUAUAUAGUAGUGUAUAGUAUAUUUUGAUUCCACACUCCUAAUUUACGCCCCCACCCUUCCCCUUUGGUAACCUUAAGUUUGUUUCCUGAGUCUAUUUGUCUUAUAAAUUAAGUUUAUAUCUAUUAUUUUUCUAGAUUCCAUAUGUCUUUCUCUUAGUACAAUAACUCUAGGUCCAUCCAUGUUGCUGCAAAUGGCAUCAUGUCAUCCUUUUUUAUGGCUAAUAUUCCAUUAUAUAUUACACACAUCUUCUUUAUCCAUUCAUCUAUCAAUAGAUACUAAGAAUGCUUUAGACCAAUUCCUUCAAGUCUGCUUUAAGUAUUUAAUCUUAAGGCAACACAGGAAAUACACAUAUUCUACAACUUUUCUAUCAUUUCCCAAGGGCAACUACAAUUUCUGCUUUUAAAAAAAUAUUGGUUCUUAUUGAGUAUAAAAUAAAAAUGUAUAUCUCACCUACUGAAGAUCAAUAAUGCUAAUCAUUUUAUUAUAGUUAAAAUCUCCAGUGGGACUUGGAGUCUAGGUUUAGGAAUGAAUGAGAAA
ensembl:lncRNA